AUUUCCAAUUCAAUUUUUGAACCACUUUUAGCAAAUUACUUUUUAUAUUUCCUCUAAAAUAGAUAAAUUUUAUUGUAAUUAUGAUUGUCACUUUGAUGCAUCCCUCCUUAUAUACUAAAACACAAGUCACUUCACCAAUCAAAAUUUGACAUGUAAUUCAUAUUUACAAUUUUUUUAAAAAUCAAUUAGAACAAAAUAAUGUUGAGGAAAAAAAAAACUGUAGCAACCAUUUCUUUAGCCCACGAUCCUCUUCCUUCUUCCACAAACUUUUGUUUUCCCUAUUCCUAUAUAUUUUUAGAAUUUGAUAGACAAAUGACAGUGAAACUCCCAAUUGAUUAGGAUGUGGUAUCUGCUCCGGUCGGAGGAGCACGAGUAUAAUCUGGUCUUCUCAGCGGGACUUUCAAGGGUUCUAAUGACAAAGACUGACGAGGCAACGAAGCAAUCGUCACUUCUGUUGAUCGACUGUAAAUGAAUAAUUAUUCUAUCUCUGAUUCAGAUUUGCGUGGAAGGACUGGUGCGUUAAAGCAACGAGCUCAACAAGGAGAAUCCAUGGACCAUGGAUUCAAUUUCUACAUAUACGCUUCAUCAAUACAGGAACAAUUUUUCAUAAAAGGUAAAAGCGCUUCUACUAAAUCACCCAUUGAAAUACCACGCUCGAUAGUUUGAUAUUAAAUGUAAUAAGACAAAACCCAUAAAUUACAGGUUAAUGAUUAGGAAAACACAGGAUAAACAAGACAAAAAGAUGUAAAACAGAAAAGCUUCAAAAAAAUAUACAGUAAUCUAACUUAAAAAAAUAUAUCCAGUGAGUUUAUUAAAAUUAGCGUGACUUUUCUAAAUCUAAUCUAACUUAAUUUUAUAUUUCACCAAUAAUCAGUAACAAGUGAAUUUGAUGAUAUGUGUUUUCUAUAAUUUUAGGCUUAGUCAUAUUUUAUGAUUAAUUAUUAAUUUUAAUAAAUAAUUUUAGUGAUUUAGCUGAUAAAUUUAUCAUUAUCUUCAGAAUAAUCAAAAAUUCUAACGAAAAAAUUCAUAGUUAAAUUUCUAUUAUAUUUAAUUUGUUAAUAUUACAAUAAUAUAUAUAUUUUUAUAUAAUAUUUGUUUAGUAAUAUUAAACCGAUUCUAUUUUAAUCUGUAUAUAUAUAUAUAUAUAUAUAUAGGUCACAUAAGAUAAAUUAAAUCAUAUAUUUUUAAGAUAAUUUUUUUAGGACAAUCAAAAUCAUUCAUUGUGAUAAUUUCUAAAAAAAUGUUGGCAAAGAAUUCAAAAAUACCUAUAAUAUUAUUUGUGAAGUUAUCUUUCAGUCUCACGUUAAAAAUUAGAGCAUUUAAAGUCGUUAUUAUACUUAAUAUAUAAAUAUCCAUAAAUUAAAUUUUUUUAUGAAUUUGAUAAUCAUCAUUAUCUAAAAAAAAUAUAUAUUAUAUUAUCCAAAAAAAUAUUUUACAUCAUAAUAUUUUGAAUAUUUUAAAAAUAAAUAUAACUCCAUCUAUAUAGUUUGUGUAUAUAUGAAUUUUUUUCAAGUUUAUUUUACGUAAAAAAAAUAUUUUAAUAAAAACUCUAUUUUGUAUAAUUUUAUUAAUAUUUAAUUAAUUAUUAAAUAUUUUAAAGCAUGAAAAUAAUUUAUUCUAAUGGUUUUUGAAUUGAUAAUAUAUCCAUUUACAAUUUUUUGUAAAAUUAUUAAGCCCGCAAGUGCCGGUAAAACACCUAGUGUUUUUUAAAGCAAAAAUAACAUUACACAAAAUUCUACUAUAGAGACACAUUAGAAUAAAAUUCGCCUCUAUAAUAUAGUUUUUAUAUCUUAAAGGAAAAAUAUAGAAGUGAGUUUGAAAUGCUCUUAGCUAGAGUUUAACUUGCUAUUCCCCUUGGUCGAGUCUGAUUGUAAUUUGUAAACAUAAGAUGCCAAUACCCUUUCUUGCCUAGCACUUAUUAUUGUUAUUUCUCUCUUGUGGAAGGGUUCAAAUGAGAAUUGGUAGCAAGAAUGAAUUUAGAAAGAACAUUAAACGAAGAUUUAGAAUACGAGUAAGGGAGAACGAGUAAAAUACUGUUUCUUGCAAUUGUCAGUCUUCUAGUAAUAAACGAUUCAACCCCAUAUAUCAGUGGGCCGAGAACAACAAGGGUAAGUGGCUAUGGCUUCAACCUUUUUGGUGCUUCUCAGGCGUAAAUGAUUCAACCCCAGCUCUCCAAUAUGAGGUUACAAUGUUAAUGGUUUUGACCCCGACGCAAACAAUCAAUAUAUUCGUCUAAGAACUAAUCAAAAUUUGAUACAUUUUUAUAUUUUAAGUAGGUUUAUAUUUGUAACGCCUCGACCGUUUUUGCCAGCGGGUCUUCACGCACACUGUUCACUCAACAUGUGGGCUCUACCACUUAGUCGACGACCGGUUUGCUAAAUUUUGAAGGCUUCCAAAAAUUUAUUUAUUGACCAUGUAAUCUUUACAGUUUACAUGAUAUUUUUUUGUGAUUUGGUUUCAGUCAUACUGUAUCCCGAAUCAUUUUCUAAUAAGUCAUUUAUCUUCUAAUAGGUCAUCUCAAACAUGAUUAAUUCUGAAGUUCUUUUGGACACUGAAAAGAUAAGUAGAUUUUGGUAAUUUAUGUAAUCAAUGCUUUUUGCAAAAAAAAAAAUUAUGUAAUCAAAUAAAUUAUAUUAAGCUUUUCAUAUA